UUUAGGUUUAGGUUUAGGUUUUGGGAUUUGAGAAUGGGUUCGGUUUUAGGUUAUAAGUUUUGGUUUUGGUUUAGGUUAUAGGAUUUGAGAAUGGGUUCGGGUUUAGGUUAUAGGUUUUGGUUUUGGUUUAGGUUAUAUGUUUUGAUUUAGGUUAUAUGUUAU